rnacentral:rRNA from 1 species
UACGUAGGGUGCGAGCGUUGUCCGGAAUUAUUGGGCGUAAAGGGCUCGUAGGCGGUCUGUCACGUCGGGAGUGAAAACUCAGGGCUUAACCCUGAGCCUGCUUCCGAUACGGGCAGACUAGAGGUAUGCAGGGGAGAACGGAAUUCCUGGUGUAGCGGUGAAAUGCGUAGAUAUCUGGAGGAACACCGGUGGCGAAGGCGGCAUCCUGGACCGGCAUUGACGCUGAGGCGCGAAAGCCAGGGGAGCAAACGGG